rnacentral:tRNA from 1 species
UGGGGUGUCGCCAAGUGGUAAGGCAACUGGCUCUGAACCAGUCACCCGGGGUUCGAAUCCCUGCACCCCAG